rnacentral:rRNA from 1 species
GACGAACGCUGGCGGCGUGCUUAACACAUGCAAGUCGAACGGAAAGGCCCUGCUUUUGUGGGGUGCUCGAGUGGCGAACGGGUGAGUAACACAUGAGUAACCUGCCCUUGACUUUGGGAUAACUUCAGGAAACUGGGGCUAAUACCGGAUAGGAGCUCCUGCUGCAUGGUGGGGGUUGGAAAGUUUCGGCGGUUGGGGAUGGACUCGCGGCUUAUCAGCUUGUUGGUGGGGUAGUGGCUUACCAAGGCUUUGACGGGUAGCCGGCCUGAGAGGGUGACCGGCCACAUUGGGACUGAGAUACGGCCCAGACUCCUACGGGAGGCAGCAGUGGGGAAUAUUGCACAAUGGGCGGAAGCCUGAUGCAGCAACGCCGCGUGCGGGAUGACGGCCUUCGGGUUGUAAACCGCUUUCGCCUGUGACGAAGCGUGAGUGACGGUAAUGGGUAAAGAAGCACCGGCUAACUACGUA